rnacentral:rRNA from 1 species
GGAAUAUUGGACAAUGGGCGAAAGCCUGAUCCAGCCAUGCCGCGUGUGUGAAGAAGGCCCUCGGGUCGUAAAGCACUUUAAGUUGGGAGGAAGGGCUUACAGCGAAUACCUGUGAGUUUUGACGUUACCGACAGAAUAAGCACCGGCUAACUUCGUGCCAGCAGCCGCGGUAAUACGAAGGGUGCAAGCGUUAAUCGGAAUUACUGGGCGUAAAGCGCGCGUAGGUGGCUUGAUAAGUUGGAUGUGAAAUCCCCGGGCUCAACCUGGGAACUGCAUCCAAAACUGUCUGGCUAGAGUGCGGUAGAGGGUAGUGGAAUUUCCAGUGUAGCGGUGAAAUGCGUAGAUAUUGGAAGGAACACCAGUGGCGAAGGCGACUACCUGGACUGACACUGACACUGAGGUGCGAAAGCGUGGGGAGCAAACA